rnacentral:rRNA from 1 species
UACGAAGGGGACUAGCGUUGUUCGGAAUUACUGGGCGUAAAGCGCACGUAGGCGGAUUUGUAAGUCAGGGGUGAAAUCCCGGGGCUCAACCUCGGAACUGCCUUUGAUACUGCAAAUCUCGAGUCCGAUAGAGGUGGGUGGAAUUCCUAGUGUAGAGGUGAAAUUCGUAGAUAUUAGGAAGAACACCGGUGGCGAAGGCGACUCACUGGACACGUAUUGACGCUGAGGUGCGAAAGCGUGGGGAGCAAACAGG